GUUUACGUGGCUGGAGCUGCUCUCACAGUUAGGUAGAGCCACGGUUUUUGCUUGUCCUGACCUCCAGCCUACACAGUGGGGCUGCUGACGCAGGUGUCUCUCAGUGAGAUUGGAACAGGGAACCGGCGGAGGGAGCCGCGGGCAGCUGCUCCGUGUUUCAGGGUCUGCUCCGGUACCUCCGCUCUGAGGAAGGGGACUGGAAGCCGGAGCCCUGCAGACGCCGCCCCUCCCAGGGCCAAGCCCUGCGGCUCGGUCCCGCCUCCUGCACACCUCUGUCCCGGCGCCGUCCGCAGCCUCCCGGGUGGUCCCGGAGUGCGGGGCCCAGGGAAACUCAGUGCCUUCUGCAGUGUCUGUUCUCCAGCAAGGGCUCUGACCCAGCGGGCUCCUUCUUGUUGCGAUGCGCGCGAUGCACGAAGAAAGGAAGACACUGUGCAGAGUCUCCGUGUUAGCCCCGUGGACCCUCGUCGUUCAGCCCGAGACGUCGCACCGAUAAAUGUUUCCGCCUCCUAACGCUGAGCUCCUGGCUCAGAUGCCUUCGCCUCCUUAGACUGCACCGCCAGCGGAUCAGCAGCACCGAGCUUGUCACACCGAAGGAAUUUAACGGACUCAGAAAGUCCUUCCAGAACUCUUCGCUCUCCCCUCCACCUGCUGCUCUGCUUCUUGUAAAUCCUGCUGGCUCUAUUCCUAGGGAGCUCCAAUGAAAGUAAGCCUCACAGAUGGAAAAAGAGGUAUAUAAAAAAUAGCAAACUUAUUUUUUGUUUUUGGUGUCGGGUAUCGAGCUCAGGACCUUGCACUUGUGAAGCAGGUGGCAGAACCACAGUGUCAAACCCCCUGCCCUAAAAAAGAACAAACUUCUAUCUGGUGCUCUAGACACUGACCAGAGUCACUCGCUGAGCCGCUGGCAUUAUUAAAGCCAUUUUUGCUCCUAGUUCUGUAUUUGAGUGCUCUGUCUACAACUCUCCCUCAGUUUCCUGCUACUUUUUUUUUUUUUUUUUUU
rnacentral:lncRNA from 1 species